rnacentral:rRNA from 1 species
GAUGAACGCUGGCGGCGUGCCUAAUACAUGCAAGUCGAGCGAACAGACGAGGAGCUUGCUCCUCUGACGUUAGCGGCGGACGGGUGAGUAACACGUGGAUAACCUACCUAUAAGACUGGGAUAACUUCGGGAAACCGGAGCUAAUACCGGAUAAUAUAUUGAACCGCAUGGUUCAAUAGUGAAAGACGGUUUUGCUGUCACUUAUAGAUGGAUCCGCGCCGCAUUAGCUAGUUGGUAAGGUAACGGCUUACCAAGGCAACGAUGCGUAGCCGACCUGAGAGGGUGAUCGGCCACACUGGAACUGAGACACGGUCCAGACUCCUACGGGAGGCAGCAGUAGGGAAUCUUCCGCAAAGGGCGAAAGCCUGACGGAGCAACGCCGCGUGAGUGAUGAAGGUCUUCGGAUCGUAAAACUCUGUUAUUAGGGAAGAACAAAUGUGUAAGUAACUAUGCACGUCUUGACGGUACCUAAUCAGAGAGCUACGGCUAACUACGUG